CUGACACAGGUGCUGCAUGGCUGUCGUCAGCUCGCGUCGUGAGAUGUUGGGUUAAGUCCCGUAACGAGCGCAACCCUUGUCCUUAGUUACCAGCACGUUAUGGUGGGCACUCUAAGGAGACUGCCGGUGACAAACCGGAGGAAGGUGGGGAUGACGUCAAGUCAUCAUGGCCCUUACGGCCUGGGCUACACACGUGCUACAAUGGUCGGUACAAAGGGUUGCCAAGCCGCGAGGUGGAGCUAAUCCCAUAAAACCGAUCGUAGUCCGGAUCGCAGUCUGCAACUCGACUGCGUGAAGUCGGAAUCGCUAGUAAUCGUGAAUCAGAAUGUCACGGUGAAUACGUUCCCGGGCCUU
rnacentral:rRNA from 1 species